AGGAGUUGAUGAAUUUGGGGUUGCAUUUGAAUUCCAGGUUUUCAAAACGCAUUUGAAUCGACAAAUUGAUUUCGCUGGUAAUCGGUUCACAAUGACGCGAUCCUCAUUGAAAAUCAGUCCGAAGCCAUUAGAAGUCACAUAAUCGGUUUGUCGUUGAUGAAGUCGUCGUGGCCCGUCAGUCAUGACAAAUUGACAAUGUAAUUGCAAUUGUUGUUAUGUAUUUGAUACAAUGGAAAAACUUAAGCUCUUUCGCAGCAAUAAUUUUAUAAUCAAGUAAUACUUCAGAGAUUAAAGAUUUGAAAGCUGGGGCGGAGCUGCUUGAUAUUAUUCUUUCAAAGUCCCAGAGAAUGGGCAUGGAGCCUCAAAGAGCUGCAGUGGGGAAGUAGAACCACUGUCAGGUUCAAUAUACCCAGCAGGCUCACCUCGAGCAGCAGACACAGUGAGGAGAAUAAUCGGCACAAUGAAGAAACCAGCAGGCUUACCUGCUUAGAUUUUUCGAUUUCAAAUUUUUAAAUCUUUCGACGAAAUCGAGUUCAGAUUUGAUGAUGCAUUCA